CUGACCUGCCCAGUGAUUAAUAUUUAACGGCCGCAGUAUCUUGACUGUGCAAAGGUAGCAUAAUCAUUAGUUUUUUAAAUGGAAGCUAGAAUGAAUGGUUUUAUAAGAAAAAAGCUGUCUCAGUAUUAUUUAAUUAUAAUUUUAUUUUUAAGUUAAAAAGCUUAAAUCUUAUAAAAAGACGAGAAGACCCUAUAGAGUUUUAUAUAUUUAAAAAUUUAUUAAUUUUAAGAUUAUAUUAAUUUUGAAUUUUUAAUAUUUUUUAUUGGGGUGAUGUAAAAAUUUAAAUAACUUUUUAUUAUAAAGUCAUUAAUUUAUGAAUAAUUGAUCCUAUAUUUUAGAUUAUAAGAAAAAAUUACCUUAGGGAUAACAGCGUAAUUUUUUUUAGAGUUCUUAUUGAAAAAAGAGAUUGCGACCUCGAUGUUGGAUUAAAAUUAAAUUUUGGUGAAGAAGCUAAAAAUUUAGGUCUGUUCGACCUUUAAAAUUUUACAUGAUCUGAGUUUAAACCGGUGUGAGCCAGGUUGGUUUCUAUCUUUUAUUAAAAAUUACAUCUUAGUACGAAAGGACCAGAUGUAAAAAUUAAAUUUUAAUGUUUGAAUAAAAU
rnacentral:rRNA from 1 species